rnacentral:rRNA from 1 species
CCUACGGGGGGCUGCAGUGGGGAAUUUUGGACAAUGGGCGCAAGCCUGAUCCAGCCAUUCCGCGUGAGUGAAGAAGGCCUUCGGGUUGUAAAGCUCUUUCGCAAGGGAAGAAAACUUAUCCUCUAACAUAGGAUGAGGUUGACGGUACCUUGAUAAGAAGCACCGGCUAACUACGUGCCAGCAGCCGCGGUAAUACGUCGGGUACGACCGUGCGUCGGGAUUGCUCAGCGUAAUGCGUGCGCAGGCUGUUAAAUCCCCGAGCUAAACUUGGGAACUGCGUUUGAAACUACAAGACUAGAAUAGGUCAGAGGGGGGUAGAAUUCCACGUGUAGCAGUGAAAUGCGUAGAGAUGUGGAGGAAUAUCAAUGGCGAAGGCAGCCCCCUGGGAUCAGAUUGACGCUCAUGCACGAAAGCGUGGGGAGCAAACAGGAUUAGAUACCCCUGUAGUC